ACAAGCCUGAGAAACGGCUAGUAGGACUACGGUCUGCAGCAGGCGCGAAACUUACACAAUGCUAGAUUAAAAUUAGCGAUGUAGUGAAGAAAAAUAACGAUGUACUUACAUUUAAACAUGUUAGUACAAUUGGAAUGAGACGACUUUAAAACAGUCAGUCGAGUAACAAAUGGAGGGCAAGUCUGGUGCCAGCAGCCGCGGUAAUUCCAGCUCCAUUAGCAUACAUUAAAAUUGUUGCGGUUAAAAAGCUCGUAGUUGAAUUUUAGGCAAGCUUUAUUGGGAUGCAUCCGUUAAGGUUCUAUAUACGCUUCGGCGUUAUUGCAACUGGUUGCAUUUUCCCUAUAGAAACUUGCUGUUUCGUCACUUAAUCGAGUGCGAAGCGGGCUGGUACAAAGCAUAACUUCGGUUUGCUUGUUUCAUCAUGUUUACCUUGAGAAAAUUAAAGUGGUCCCAGCAGGCAGUUGGGGGGGAAAAACCCCUUUAUGCUUGAAUAAUGUUGCAUGGAAUAAUAAAAUACGGCCUCCGUUCUAUUCUGUUGGUCUUAUAGAACAACAAACAAGUUGAUUAAAGCGACAAAAAGUUACCAACAAGUGUGGGUCAAAUAACUAGCUACUGGAUUGCAUUAUAUUCUGGUGCCAUCGGGUUAAACCAAUGAGCCGGGUAUAUGCAACAGCAUAACCAAGUGUUUGUUCCAUUCAAGCACUUGCUGGCCAACUAGCUUUCUAAUCAACUGAGGCAAUGGUUAAAAGAAAUAGUCGCGGCCGCAUCAGUACUGCAUCGUGAGAG
rnacentral:rRNA from 1 species